UACGUAGGGUGCGAGCGUUGUCCGGAAUUACUGGGCGUAAAGAGCUCGUAGGUGGUUUGUCGCGUUGUUCGUGAAAACUCACAACUCAAUUGUGGGCGUGCGGGCGAUACGGGCAGACUUGAGUACUGCAGGGGAGACUGGAAUUCCUGGUGUAGCGGUGAAAUGCGCAGAUAUCAGGAGGAACACCGGUGGCGAAGGCGGGUCUCUGGGCCGAUACUGACGCUGAGGAGCGAAAGCGUGGGGAGCGAACAGG
rnacentral:rRNA from 1 species